rnacentral:lncRNA from 1 species
UUCUUGAUAGACCAUGGAGCUACCGAAAUUUAACAAACCCUUCAUCACAAUUUUCUUUUCCUCCAACACAGUUACUUGUUGCAUCAAAUCUCCAAUGUUGGAUACUAGAAUAGACGAUCUGUCACUAUAAAUUAUUCGAGUUUCACAGAGACAUGCCCAGAAGCUUGCAUCUUAUUGUCCUAUGAGAAGAAUGCUAACGACAACGAAACGAAAUGCUUGCACUGUCCAAUUUAAGGGAGAUUUCCGCGUUUGCCGGGAGAGUGCUUUCUGCGUCCUCAGGACCACGACGAAAGUAGAAAAGGACACCACAGAUUACCGCGGCAACGACAACUAUGCCGACGAUGACCCAUCCCGGAGUAUCCCACCACGAAACGUUCUCAUCGUCGGAAGAGACGGAAUUCGGGACAAAUGAAGAGGGGAAGCACGGGCAACCUGAACAAUUUUCUGGACAGUUAUAGUGCUCCAUCAAGAAAGUCCUGCGUAGUUAAAUGCAAGCGAUGAGUUCACAAACAUAUUUCGAAGCAUCAAUUCACACAAGAAAAGUAGUUGUUCAAAAGGAGGGUGCUUUAGUAGAAAAGAAACACUAUUUUGAUCACAUAAACCCAGAAGAUUAUAUGACGCGAGCGUGAGAACGAGAUGAUUGAAAAUGGAAUGAAGUAGGAUAUAGUAUAAACCAAAGAGUUGAAGGAGGUGCUUGCGUGUACCUCAUCAAGAAGAACCGAGGUGUGUGGUGUUAUUGGUAUUAUUCUUAUACUACC